rnacentral:rRNA from 1 species
UUCCCGAUCUUGAGGGAGCUAAUGUGUUAUUUUAUUUAUUGUUGCAUUAAUAAUUUGUAAUAUCUUAUUGGCAGUGAAAUGUUAUUCGUCUUUAACGGUUUCUGGUUUUCCAAGAAAUGAAUUCAAUUCGGGUAUUUUAUUUAAUUCUUUACUUUUUUCGGUGUGGAUUUAAUUUUAUGCUAAUAUUUAGGGGGAUUAGCUCCUUUUUAUAGGAUAAUAUUUUUUUAUUAGGUGCAAUCUUGUGGGUUUCAUGGUGAUUUUCGACUUGAUUAUGUUAAAGUUUUAUUGCUCGUCGUUUCUUUUUUUAGUUAAUUUUGUAUUUAUUGGAAUGUUGUUUUUAAUUUUUUAUGGUUUGCAAUUAUUGUAGGAUUAGUAUAUUGUUUUAUUGUUAUUGUUUGGCUUAAAUUUUAAUUUCUUUUGAGGAAUUAGGCAAAAUCUUACGCCCGCCUGUUUAACAAAAACAUCUCUUCUUGUUAGUUUUUGAAGUAUGGCCUGCCCCCUGAUGAUUGUAUGAUUUAAAGGGCCGCGGUAUACUGACCGUGCAAAGGUAGCAUAGUCAUUAGUUCUUUAAUUGGGAUCUGGUAUGAACGGUUUGACGAGGCGUGCCCUGUCUUAAAUGUUGAAUCUUUUUGGAAUUUGGUUUUUUAGUUAGAAUUCUUAAAUGUUUUUGUGGGACGAGAAGACCCUAUAGAGUUUUACAUUGUACUCUCUUUGUGUGUUUGAUUUUGUGGGCGAAGGGUUUAUGUCUGUUUUGUUGGGGCGAUGGGAGGGAUCUGUUUAACCCCUCCUUUUUUGGGCUACAUUUAUUUUUGGGUUUUUGAUC